AUAUAAAAACUAGAACCGCAACAUAUCUUAAAAGCAUAAGUAUUGUAUCAUUGUUAGAAGAUACAAUGACGAAGACUCAUAUGGACUUCGACUACACUAUCAAAGCUCUAAGAAGCAAGAAGCAGCUUGGUUAGUGUUUUGGAGUCGAAUAUGACUUGAUGUCAUGUGUAUGAGUAAGUAUAAAAACUAGAACCGCAACGGAUCUUAAAAGCCUAAAUAUUGUAUCCUUGUUAGAAGAUACAUAGACAAAGACACAUACGGAAUUCGGCUAAACCAUCAAAGCUGUUAGAAGUAAGAAGAAGCUUGGUAGUGUU
rnacentral:sRNA from 1 species